CACGUAGGGCGCAAGCGUUGUCCGGAAUUAUUGGGCGUAAAGAGCUCGUAGGUGGCUUGUCACGUCGGGUGUGAAAGCUUGGGGCUUAACUCCAGGUCUGCAUUCGAUACGGGCUGGCUAGAGGUAGGUAGGGGAGAACGGAAUUCCUGGUGUAGCGGUGAAAUGCGCAGAUAUCAGGAGGAACACCGGUGGCGAAGGCGGUUCUCUGGGCCUUACCUGACGCUGAGGAGCGAAAGCGUGGGGAGCGAACAGG
rnacentral:rRNA from 1 species